UCGUACAACGAGAGGUGCCAGGGCUGUCGCUGACCCCCUCUUUUUGAGGUCGUGCACGCCUUGAGUGUCCUUUCAAACAUCCACCACACACACCCCUUUUGUGCAUCACCGCGUGGGCUCCUUUGGGUCGGUUCGAUCCAAGUGGGGCUUGCGCUUUUUACACAAACACCCUUCGAAUGCAGUGUAGAAUGUCCUUUGCGAUCGUAUGCGAUCAAUA
rnacentral:misc_RNA from 1 species